rnacentral:rRNA from 1 species
UACGUAGGCAGCGAGCGUUUGUUCGGAGUUACUGGGCGUAAAGGGUGUGUAGGCGGUUCUUUAAGUUUGGUGUGAAAUCUCCCGGCUCAACCGGGAGGGUGCGCCGAAUACUGAGGGACGUUCGAGUGCGGGAGAGGAAAGUGGAAUUCCUGGUGUAGCGGUGAAAUGCGUAGAUAUCAGGAGGAACACCGGUGGCGAAGGCGGCCUGCUGGGGCAGUUGCUGACACUGAGGCGCGACAGCGUGGGGGAGCAAACAGG